GACGAACGCUGGCGGCGUGCUUAACACAUGCAAGUCGAACGGAAAGGCCCUGCUUUUGUGGGGUGCUCGAGUGGCGAACGGGUGAGUAACACGUGAGUAACCUGCCCUUGACUUUGGGAUAACUUCAGGAAACUGGGGCUAAUACCGGAUAGGAGCUCCUGCUGCAUGGUGGGGGUUGGAAAGUUUCGGCGGUUGGGGAUGGUCUCGCGGCUUAUCAGCUUGUUUGUGGGGUAGUGACUUACCAAGGCUUUGACGGGUAGCCGGCCUGAGAGGGUGACCGGCCACAUGGGGACUGAGAUACGGCCCAGACUCCUACGGGAGGCAGCAGUGGGGAAUAUUGCAGAGUGGGCGGAAGCCUGAUGCAGCAGCGCCGCGUGCGGGAUGACGGCCUUCGGGUUGUAAACCGCUUUCGCCUGUGACGAAGCGUGAGUGACGGUAAUGGGUAAAGAAGCACCGGCUAACUACGUG
rnacentral:rRNA from 1 species